ACAUAGCUCACUUUGUGUAAUAACACACACGUAUCGGCACAUAUUCCGGGGUGCCCUUUGGGGUCGGUAAUAUGGGAUACGUGGAGGCAUAACC
rnacentral:sRNA from 1 species